rnacentral:ncRNA from 1 species
GCAAAGGCGUUGAUGGAGAAAAGUACCGCGGAUGUUCCGGGCCAGUGAGCGGGGGAUGGUGAGAACCCCGUACCAAAGAGUCCGCGGGAAGAACACUCCGUAGCUGUGAUCUGAACGCGGGAGACCGCCAGUAAGUGAAACGAGUCGUGACCGUUACCUCACGCGGGCUUGUUGGAGCCUAGUCAAAGAGGUCCCCGAUCAGGGGGCAAGUCAGGUGGCACCGCGGAUCGCAGCUAUUCGUCCUGAAA